rfam:Cricetulus griseus cell line CHO-K1, whole genome shotgun sequence.
CCAAAGGCUCUUUUAAGAGCCACUUCCAUUAUUUUCAAAAUGGCA